GGCUGCUGCACCAGAAACACUGGGCUGGUGCCGGGAACACCCCCAUCCCAGACUGGAGACCUCCCCCAGCCCCUCCAGAUGAGGGUCCUGCCCUGCUCACUGGCUCCUGCCCCAACCCUGCUCCUGGGGCCUUCCUGACUCGCCACCUUGCACUUCCCAGGGACAGUACACCCAGCAGCCUGUCCCAGCCUAUGUCUCAGCAGACCAGGCUCUGCGAGACACCCCCUCCAGCCUCCACCUCCCAGCACUGCCUCCAGAACAGGGGCCAUUCAGACUCGUGGCUUGCUGUCCUCUGCCCUGCAUCUCAGGCUGCUCCCAGCCCAUGUCCAGUUUUGGGUGCUAGCCACAGUGCUACACUGACCAUCUGGUACCUGCUUCUGCCACAGCUUCGGGGCCCUCCUGGGGCCAGCCAGCCCUGGACAAAGCAGACCCGACCCCUCCCUCCCUCUGGGCCUUGACCUCUGUUUCUGUUGCCAGCUGUGGUACCUGAGCCAGCAGCAACCCAAACAGGGAAGCAAGAAACUCUGUAGCUGCUUCUGUGCCUCUUUCUUCUUGGGGACAAGCCAAGCCUGUGUCUCCAUCUCACUCAAUCGUCGGGUCUGUGCCCAAGGUCAGGGCCAUCGUGCUCCAUCCAUGGGCCGGCCUUGUCUUAGAGGCCGAGGGGCCUGGCCCCAUCUGUGCCUGGCUUGGUAACAGUUCUGCAGUGUCCCAGGAAUAUUCCCUUGCCCAUCUCAGGACAGGAGCUCACUCUGAGGGCCUGCCCCUCUUUGGGAACUACCCCCUCUGGCAGCUGGGGGUGAGCAUGCUAGGUCUCAGUGAGCACAUCUCUCAGGUCCCUGACCCCUGGGCACCCCCGUAGGCUUCUUGUAUUGCCGGGGGGCAGGAAUGGGCCCCUCCUGCAUGCUGCCCCCACAUGGUAGGGCCCAGACCUCCGUCUCCCCUGCAGUCCCACAGCCCCUGCCAAGGGCAUCUGCGACUGGAAACUCCACCGCGGUGAUCCUGAGCUGCUGGGAAGAUGGGUUUUGAUGGUACCGCUGCUCAGAGGGCAAGGGGCACCAGUGCCAGCCACCACAUCAGGCACCAUCUGCUGGUGCAGGAGGCCGAGUCUCACUCUGUUGCCCAGGCUGGAGUGCGAUGGCAUGAUCUCGGCUCCCUGCAAUCUCCACCUCCCAGGUUCAAGCAAUUCUCCUACCUCAGCCUCCUGAGUAGCUGGGAUCACAGGCACACACCACCAUGCCCGGCUAAUUUUUGUAUUUUUAGUAGAGACGGGGUUUCACCAUGUUGGCCAGGCUGGUCUCCAACUCCUGACCUCAAGUGAUCAGCCUGCCUCGGGCUCCUAAAGUGCUGGGAUUACAGGCGUGAGCCACCGCGCCCGGCCAUAGGGCAUCCUCUUAAUUAGAGUGUGAGGCCUGCGGAUAUGGGCUGGGGAAUAAGUUGAUGCUGACAGAAAAUAACUUAAACCAUUGAAAGGAACAGGAAGUAAACAGAAGCAAAUAUUUACCGAAUCCCUGGUGAGAAGGAACUUUCCAAGAAUAAAGGGAAGGAUGAGUUCACUUUGACUGUGUGGAAGCUAAAUUCUCAGGUGGCUCAAAGGAAAACAUCAAGCUAAAAGACAAGAAAUGAGGCGGGUAAAUUUUUGACACUAACAUGACAAAAAAUUAAUAGCAUUAACACGGCAGGAACUUAUCUGAAGCAGCAACACCAAGGGCAAUGUGAGUGAACUGCAGACAAGGCAACCCGGACGCCAUGGGACACGCCACAGAGCAGGCUGCCUUGUCCCCACUCUGCCUACAUGUGAGACCCACCAGACUCACAGUGAACACAUCCCAGCCCCUCCGGCCGGGCACCACGGAAGGCCCUCCCUCCUCCACUGAGGGCAGGGAUCACAGGGCCAGGUUUUUGUCAUCGGACAAGGGGUGUCCCAAGUCAUGAGAUGCUUAACCCAUGAAUGCCCCCUCUUGGAGUCUAUGCUAAUUAAACACGUAGAGGGGCGGACUUCACUCUGCCAGCUCAGAUAAUGACCACAGCAUAUUUAUAACCACAAAGAGGUGGAAACAGCUACACUAUCCAACAGUGGGGAAAUGUUUAAGUCAAUGCUGGGAGAGUAACACCAUGGACCAGCCCCGAAGAGACAUCUGUGGUGAGUGAAAUGCACGCCAUACAAGCCCAGAGAGACUGUGAACUUGGAAGAAAGAAUAGGUGCACACAAUAAGACUGGGAGGAAAUGAACAAACUAUCAUCGGCCAUGAGGUUCUCCUUUACUUACAAUAAGUAUAUGCAGCACAGACAUGAGAAAGGCAUUCCUGGAGUGUGAAGCCCAGGGCAAGAGGAUGCGGGUGUCCUGAGCAAGCAAUAAUGCCAGCACCUUCUGCAAGGAGCUCUGCUGGGCCACCUCUUGGGCAACAAACCAUCCUGGGACAUCUUGCAGACAAGGAAACAGGCUUCAGGAGGCAAUGGUGCCUCUUGAAGGGCAGGGCACACAGCCACAGGGCCACCUUCUGCAUGGCUCCCACCGCAGCUGAGUCUCCAAGGAAGCUGGGUUUUUACAGGGGCAGGUCCUCAAGGUGGAUACCCCUUUGCUAAAGGCUCUGCCCCAGCAACCCACAAGCAGCCACUUGCCCUGGGCUCCAGGCGGCUGCCCUCCCCUUGCUGUCCUCUGGACUGUUUAGUAUGCAGAAGGACCAGCCCUGCAAGGCCACCAUAAAUCCUGCCCCUGUCCUACAGCAGAUCAAUUGCCAAUCGGCUCCAAAUCCCCUAGAUGUCUCAGCAGCUUGGCCCAGCUGUAGGAGCCACGGCCAUGGUUGGCUCUAGAUGCUGCUGGCUAUAUAUAUUGAACUUGAAGCAUCGGAUUACAUGUUUGUUCAAUAGCAAUAAAC
rnacentral:lncRNA from 1 species